GCGAUUCCCUUAGUAGCGGCGAGCGAAACGGGAACAGCCCAGCGCAUAAUCUCCCGGGCUACCAAGCCUGCGGGGAAAUGUUGCGUCAAGGGAAUGGUCGCUAACAGCCUCGUACGCCCGUAGAUGUUGCCUAAUCGCGUCUUGAAAUAUUCGCGCAUGUUGGGUGCUACGUCUCUCGGGAUGAAACGCUCGACUCACGGUACCGUUGAGGGUGCAAGCCCCGUUCGGCCGCGUGUUGUUGCGUGCGAAGGCUAGACCAAUUUUCCCGGAGAGUCGCGUUGUUUGAACGUACAGCGCUAAGCAGGUGGUAAACUCCACCUAAGGCUAAAUAUGUCCACGGAACCGAUAGCUAACAAGUACCGCGAGGGAAAGUUGAAAAGUACUCUGGAGAGAGGGUGCAAAGACCGUGAAACCAUCCAGGGCAAAAGCCAAUGUCGAGUAUCCUAGUUGCGCUGGGACCAUCCCUCGGGGUGUGGAUGAGCUUGGGUGUGGUUGGCGACUAUCUGUCCGCUUGUAUGCGUUUGGAUUCGUCGGCCUUCUCGUAAUUGCUUAUCUGUUGUGUCCAUCAACAGCCCAUCGGAACUCUUGCUAGACCAUUCGCUGUUACACAAGUUUGACCUCUGCAUGUUCGUUAAGGGUGUUCGCUACCGAAAGUCCGCGUCAGAGUGAUUCCUCCUAUUAGUCUUCGGACGAAAGAGACCACUUUACGCGCCGGUGCAUUUAUGGCUUUCAAAGAGUUCAUCUGGAUAUGUAGAACCUACGCGUGUUGCUAAUGCGUUUUUGGUUCUGGGCGAGAGUUUAACUGACACUCUUGGAUUCGGAGUCCUUAUCCCUCGUGCUCGAGAGAGCAAGAAACGGUUUGGGCAAUGUUUUCGAGAAUCGAUACGGUGGUAUGCCUAGGCGACAUUGGUCACGUCUCGAAACACGGGCCAAGGAGCAUAGCGUAAAGGCAAGUCGCAAGGUCUUACAAAACCUCGUGGCGAGUGAAAGCGAGUGGGGAUCGAUUAAUUUCUUUCUCAGAUGGCAUAUGUGGAGUUCCAGUAAUGAGUCUAUAUAUGUUCAUCGUCUUGUACAGAGCUGAUCCUCUAGUUCCUCGGAACGAAAAGGCGCAGGCUCCGGGCUCGCUCGUUGUCCGCUUACAGAGGUCUCGUAUUUUUGUGAGUGGCUGAGAGAGCACUGCUUAGACUUUCCGCUAUAACCCGAAAGAUAGUGAACUAUGCUUGGCGAAGACGAAGCCCCAGGAAACUGUGGUGGAGGUCUGUAGCCGUUGUGACGUGCAAAUCCAUGGUGUCAGCUGAGCAUAGGGGCGAAAGACCAAUCGAACUAUCUAGUAGCUGGUUCCAUUCGAAGUUUCUCUCAGGAUAGCUUGCGCGAAGCAUACGCUCUUUGUCAAGUCGUUCGUUCGCAUAAGUGAUCGAAUGAUAGCCCUAAGAGUCUGACGCAAUUGAGACGUGUGGCGUGCCAUCUCGUUAUGUUCAUCUUCGGACCCAGGGUAGCGGAACAAUUUGUUUGCAGUUACGUCUGGUAAAGAGAAUGAGUAGAGUCGGCUCGUUGGUCUUUUUGCAUCAACGGCAGCGGGGCGUUCUACGCCUCGCACUAUUAUCAAACUUUAAAUGGGCGUGAAACCUAGCAUUGACUUAAUAGCUUGAUGCUAGGGAUCGCAUAUGCAUCCGCCUUGUGCGUUUGCAUGGAGAAUGCUCCCGCGUUAAGUGGGUCCGUUCUGGUAAGCAGAACUGAUAAUGAGGGAUGAACCUAACGUACGUGAUAAGGGGCCAAAAUGACAGCUAUUUCUCGAAACCAUUGGAAAGGUGUUGCUUGCUGAAGACAGCAGGACGGUGGUCAUGGAAGUUGACAUCCGCUAAGGAGUGUGUAACAACUCAUCCUGCCGAAGCGAGUAACCCUGAAAAUGGAUGGCUCUAUAGCUCUCUCCCGAUGCACGACCGUUAAUGGCACGAGAGAUCUAGUGUCUCAAUGCCUUAACGUGUAGAAUGGCGUGCUGGUAUGCGUCGAAGGCCUUAGCGUGAGCUUGGCCCGAGCUGCCAGCAGUGCAGAUCUUGGUGGUAGUAGCAAGUACUCUGGUGAAUAACCUUGAGCUGUGAGGUUGAUAAGGGUUCCAUGUCAACAGCGUUUGAACAUGGGUAAGCCGGUCCUAAGCUACCUUUAUGUCUUGAAGGUGACGGCUUAUGCGAGAGUUGACGUAAUACGGUACUGGUACUGACGUUGAGAGCGUACGUACGAAAGGACACAUUGUCUCUGGAGCAUGACUUGUAUCCGGGGCGAUCGCGAAAGGGCUUUGCGAAGCUUUCACGAGUAACGCAUAGUUUCGAUUAGCCGUCUCGGUGCAGACUUUGUUAUCUGGGUUCAUGUGUCAUCGACUAGGCGUCAUUGUUUCUCUCGUUGUAUUGGUUCGGAAUCGUCGCUUUAGCGUAGCUUGGCGAAAGGGAAAUGUGAACUCAGUUCAUAUGCCUCUCCUGGCACCCUGAAACGGUUUACCGUGACACGGACCUAGCGAUAGACGCCAGGCCAGUCGUUGUCAUAAGUUGUUCAGCGGGGAGAUUUCUUCUCUCUUUGAUAAGGCUUGUAGCUCUGAAAACACCUCGCGUGGCGGAAGAGCGAUCCCUUGUAUAGCAGAGUACUCUGCUCCCUCGAGUAGUCUGACGCAACUUGUGAUCCGUGAAAAGGUGGCCGAGGGGAUACAAUCAAAGUGUGUGUUACUUGUGCUAUUAGCGAUAUGGCUUGUUCGGACGCACGUAUGGCGUCACACCAAUGUGGCGCGUCUACGUGUUUUGUCCGAGCAAUUGUGGUCGUUCGUGAAAGUUUUAUGUGAUGCAACUACACUUUACUAGAGUGUUAGCCACGGAGUGACCGUACCCAUUUCCGCAUCCG
rnacentral:rRNA from 1 species